UGGAAUUCAGUUGGCGUUACA
rnacentral:siRNA from 1 species